UAAUAAACCAGGUGUUUUCUCUCAAUCUUUAUAUUAAAAAAAAAUUUGAGAAAUCCCUCCCUCUUCGGCCGCCAAUCCCUCCUUCUACUUCUUCGCCGGCGACCUCCAAGAGCAGUAGGUGACGAGCCUCGGACGAUGACAACCCACCUGAACUCACGUUUUUGAAUUGACCCACACUUCGAUUAGCUUCAAAUUAGUUUACCCAUGCCCCAACCUACGAGUUUGAACGUGUUCAGACACCAACCAGCAAGGAUCAGAGCCUUUUAAGUAAGAGUCGGUAGCCAUUUUUGCUGGUGUUACUGAUGAGUAACCAUUUUUGAUGAAAGGUCAAGUUAUGGUUUUGAAGCAGGUGAUGUUUGGCAUUUUGGCAUAGGACAUCAAAGGGUGCUUCUUCCAGAUUAGAUACUUUUAGUUCGAACUUGUUUGUAAUAAGUUGCUUCCACUGAUUUGUGUAAGUUGUAAAAGGUUAUAUUGGUUAUGUUUCCGCGUUUUCGUUAUAGUAGUUGUAUUGAAAAAUACAGGCGGUUACAUAAACAUGCACUAUGUAGAUUGUUUGCAAGGCUGUACAAUUCUGGUGAACAAACUGUUACAGUGUCAGAUUCAAUCAAAAGUAUGUGUAAAACCAUGAUGACAUGCCAUUCGUUGGCGCUUGAGACUGCCCUUGACCAAACUGGGAUUAGGAUUUCACCUGAGAUAGCUGAGGCUGUCCUUAAAAGAUUUGAGAAUGCUGGCAUGUUAGCUUAUAGGUUCUUUGAAUGGGCUUCCAAACAGCGAAACUACGUCCACAGUGUGAGGGCUUACCACUCUAUGAUUGAGUCUUUAGCUAAGAUAAGGCAGUACCAGAUGGUGUGGGAUUUGGUGAAUGCUAUGAGGAAUAAGGAGAUUUUAAAUGUUGAGACCUUUUGUAUUAUUAUGAAAAAGUAUGCUAGAGCUCAGAAAGUAGAGGAAGCUGUUUAUACUUUCAAUGUCAUGGAAAAAUAUAAUAUGAAACGAAAUGUAGCUGCAUUUAAUGGAUUGCUGUCUGCGCUGUGUAAAUCCAAAAAUGUGAGGAAGGCUCAGGAAAUUUUUGAUAAUAUGAAGGACCAAUUUGUUCCUGAAUCAAAAACUUACAGCAUACUCAUUGAAGGAUGGGGUAGGGCUCCGAAUCUUCCAAAGGCAAGGGAGAUUUAUAGAGAAAUGAUUGGUAGCGGCUGCAUACCGGAUGAAGUGACAUACUGCAUUAUGGUCGAUGUUCUUUGUAAGGCCGGAAGAGUCGACGAAGCAGUUGAGAUUGUAAAAGAAAUGGAUAAUAAUAAUUGCGGACCAUCAUCGUUUGUCUAUAGUGUUUUGGUACAUACGUAUGGUGUAGAAAACCGGAUUGAAGAUGCAGUCUCUACAUUCCUGGAGAUGGAAAGAAAUGGAGUUGUGGCCGAUGUGGCUGCAUAUAAUGCUUUAAUCAGUGCUUUUUGUAAAGCAAACAAGAUUAAGAAUGUCUAUAGGGUGUUGAAGGACAUGGACUUAAAGGGUGUUAACCCCAAUUCAAGGACUUGCAACAUCAUUAUAAAUAGCUUAAUAGGCCGUGGUGAGACAGAUGAGGCAUUUAAGAUCUUUCGUAGAAUGGUCAAAGUGUGUGAACCAGACAUAGACUCCUAUACCAUGAUCAUAAAAAUGUUUUGUGCGAAGAAGGAACUUGAUAUGGCUCUUAAAAUCUGGAAGUAUAUGAAGAAGAAGCAGUUUGUUCCGAGCAUGCAUACAUUCUCUGUUCUUAUUAAUGGACUGUGUCAGAUAGGCAAUGCUACACAAGCUUGUGUGCUGUUGGAAGAGAUGAUAGAGAAGGGAAUUCGACCUUCUGGUGCCACAUUCGGAAGGUUGAGACAUUUAUUAAUUAAGAAAGGCAGAAAAGAUGUUCUAAAAUUUCUGCAGGAGAAAAUGAAUUUACUAGUCAAGGAACCAUUAUGUGAUUGAGGAAUCUCGGCUAAUUGGAGCCAUGCUACUUUUCUGUAUAGACUAUUCAGGGAUAGAAGUCUUGGAGCUUGCAGGCUAAAUGUCAUCCAGAUUUUACUUAUUCGAGCCGAAAUGCAAAAGCAGAAAAAGGGUCAGAUAACUUGAGUGGCCAGAUUUCGGUGGUGAAGCCUUGGACUAAGUCUCAAGGCAUUUCUUAACACACCUAGCUCUUCCAAGUGAUUUUUCAGUAAAAAAUCAAGCGAUUUCUCAACAACCAUAUAAGUUGGUGGUUGUGGUUUUCAGGACAAGUCUCAAUGCUUCAAUCAACAGGAUACGUUAAUUGCAUAUCAAAGUGAUUUUUCCACGAGGAAACAUGAUGAAACACGUGAUUUUGUUUUGGUAAGUUUUAUUUAGAAUAGUUUCCAUUGGAGUGAAUGGAAAAUGGCUCUUGAAGUCUUCUCAUUUUGUCCUUGAAAAGUAGAAUUUCCCAAGGGCCCUGCCAUAUUUGUCCUAGGAGAUGCAUAAUAAAUGGAUACUAAUUUGAUAAGUGGAUGUCAUUUGAUUAUGUUUAUUGUUGUUUACUUGUGUUCUAUAAUAUAAUAAAUUGUGAGGUUCGUUGUCAAA